AGGAGGAGGAGGAGGAGGCGAUGGGCUUACAAAUGCGGGUGAUGCCGGGACAUUUUGUGAUUGUGAAUCAACAAAAAAAGCACAGAAAUUGCAUACAAGCCCUAAAAUCACAAAGAUCAGGGUAGAGAACUGGGUUUCCAUGAAAUAAGAAAUUCAAAAGAAAAUAGCGGUUUGAUAAGAUGAUUCAAGAGGUUCUUGCAUGUGGGUACGAACCCAAAUUCUUGAAUUCCUUUCACUCUGCUUUAAAUUCAAGAAUUUGGGUUCUCAAGAUUAGAAAACAGAGAACUAGGGUUUGAUCGCAAGAAUCCCUCGCCGUAGACAAAAAUCAAGGAAAUGGGUCUAGUGGGUUCUUCCAAAUCCUCGUUUUCUGGAUUUGGUACCAGCACUCUAGGUUUUGGGCAUUUGGCAUAAGGAGCAAAUUUUCUUUUCCUUGUGGGCAAUCGAGGAAAUGAAUGAAAUGGGUAGGUCCCCAAAAUGAUUAAGAUGGGACACAAAAUCUGAGGAAUCUUGAUUUUUCAUUCAGAGAUGCAAAGAAUCCUCGAUUCCCAUUAUCAAUUUUGCAUCAAAAUAGACCAGGGAAAGAACGGGUCAAAAAAGAAACUGGGAAAGGGCCAUCAACGAGAGAAAAUGUCGUCUGAGACUAAAGUUGUAUGUUUCAUCCCUGUUUCUGAGAAAUGCAGAAGAGAAACACAAACAGAGAAAGAAAAUGAAUGAAAGAGAAGAGAGAGUCAGGGUUCAAUGGUUGGUAGUGGUAGACGCUAAUUUUGGGUGAUUUAUUGCCUAGAAAGAGAAUCUACAAGGGAGCU
rnacentral:misc_RNA from 1 species